rnacentral:rRNA from 1 species
UAAUACGAAUGGUCCAAGCGUUGUUCGGAAUCACUGGGCUUAAAGCGCACGUAGGCGGAACGUUAAGUGUCUUGUGAAAUCCCUACGGCUUAACCGAGGAAUGGCAGGGCAUACUGGCGUUCUUGAGGCAAGUAGGGGUGCAUGGAACUCUAGGUGGAGCGGUGAAAUGCGUAGAUAUCUAGAGGAACGCCUGUGGUGAAAACGGUGCACUGGCCUUGUUCUGACGCUGAGGUGCGAAAGCGUGGGUAGCGAGAAGGAUUAGAUACCCUUGUAGUCCACGCCGUAAACGAUGCCUACUAGGUUUCGGGAGUUCUGACGCUUUCGGAGCCGUAGCAAAAGUCUUAAGUAGGCCGCCUGGGGAGUACGGUCGCAAGGCUA